rnacentral:rRNA from 1 species
UUAAGCGACUAAGCGUACACGGUGGAUGCCCUGGCAGUCAGAGGCGAUGAAGGACGUGCUAAUCUGCGAUAAGCGUCGGUAAGGUGAUAUGAACCGUUAUAACCGGCGAUUUCCGAAUGGGGAAACCCAGUGUGUUUCGACACACUAUCAUUAACUGAAUCCAUAGGUUAAUGAGGCGAACCGGGGGAACUGAAACAUCUAAGUACCCCGAGGAAAAGAAAUCAACCGAGAUUCCCCCAGUAGCGGCGAGCGAACGGGGAGCAGCCCAGAGCCUGAAUCAGUGUGUGUGUUAGUGGAAGCGUCUGGAAAGGCGCGCGAUACAGGGUGACAGCCCCGUACACAAAAAUGCACAUGUUGUGAGCUCGAUGAGUAGGGCGGGACACGUGGUAUCCUGUCUGAAUAUGGGGGGACCAUCCUCCAAGGCUAAAUACUCCUGACUGACCGAUAGUGAACCAGUACCGUGAGGGAAAGGCGAAAAGAACCCCGGCGAGGGGAGUGAAAAAGAACCUGAAACCGUGUACGUACAAGCAGUGGGAGCACGCUUAGGCGUGUGACUGCGUACCUUUUGUAUAAUGGGUCAGCGACUUAUAUUCUGUAGCAAGGUUAACCGAAUAGGGGAGCCGAAGGGAAACCGAGUCUUAACUGGGCGUUAAGUUGCAGGGUAUAGACCCGAAACCCGGUGAUCUAGCCAUGGGCAGGUUGAAGGUUGGGUAACACUAACUGGAGGACCGAACCGACUAAUGUUGAAAAAUUAGCGGAUGACUUGUGGCUGGGGGUGAAAGGCCAAUCAAACCGGGAGAUAGCUGGUUCUCCCCGAAAGCUAUUUAGGUAGCGCCUCGUGAAUUCAUCUCCGGGGGUAGAGCACUGUUUCGGCAAGGGGGUCAUCCCGACUUACCAACCCGAUGCAAACUGCGAAUACCGGAGAAUGUUAUCACGGGAGACACACGGCGGGUGCUAACGUCCGUCGUGAAGAGGGAAACAACCCAGACCGCCAGCUAAGGUCCCAAAGUCAUGGUUAAGUGGGAAACGAUGUGGGAAGGCACAGACAGCCAGGAUGUUGGCUUAGAAGCAGCCAUCAUUUAAAGAAAGCGUAAUAGCUCACUGGUCGAGUCGGCCUGCGCGGAAGAUGUAACGGGGCUAAACCAUGCACCGAAGCUGCGGCAGCGACGCUUAUGCGUUGUUGGGUAGGGGAGCGUUCUGUAAGCCUGUGAAGGUGUGCUGUGAGGCAUGCUGGAGGUAUCAGAAGUGCGAAUGCUGACAUAAGUAACGAUAAAGCGGGUGAAAAGCCCGCUCGCCGGAAGACCAAGGGUUCCUGUCCAACGUUAAUCGGGGCAGGGUGAGUCGACCCCUAAGGCGAGGCCGAAAGGCGUAGUCGAUGGGAAACAGGUUAAUAUUCCUGUACUUGGUGUUACUGCGAAGGGGGGACGGAGAAGGCUAUGUUGGCCGGGCGACGGUUGUCCCGGUUUAAGCGUGUAGGCUGGUUUUCCAGGCAAAUCCGGAAAAUCAAGGCUGAGGCGUGAUGACGAGGCACUACGGUGCUGAAGCAACAAAUGCCCUGCUUCCAGGAAAAGCCUCUAAGCAUCAGGUAACAUCAAAUCGUACCCCAAACCGACACAGGUGGUCAGGUAGAGAAUACCAAGGCGCUUGAGAGAACUCGGGUGAAGGAACUAGGCAAAAUGGUGCCGUAACUUCGGGAGAAGGCACGCUGAUAUGUAGGUGAAGUCCCUCGCGGAUGGAGCUGAAAUCAGUCGAAGAUACCAGCUGGCUGCAACUGUUUAUUAAAAACACAGCACUGUGCAAACACGAAAGUGGACGUAUACGGUGUGACGCCUGCCCGGUGCCGGAAGGUUAAUUGAUGGGGUCAGCGCAAGCGAAGCUCUUGAUCGAAGCCCCGGUAAACGGCGGCCGUAACUAUAACGGUCCUAAGGUAGCGAAAUUCCUUGUCGGGUAAGUUCCGACCUGCACGAAUGGCGUAAUGAUGGCCAGGCUGUCUCCACCCGAGACUCAGUGAAAUUGAACUCGCUGUGAAGAUGCAGUGUACCCGCGGCAAGACGGAAAGACCCCGUGAACCUUUACUAUAGCUUGACACUGAACAUUGAGCCUUGAUGUGUAGGAUAGGUGGGAGGCUUUGAAGUGUGGACGCCAGUCUGCAUGGAGCCGACCUUGAAAUACCACCCUUUAAUGUUUGAUGUUCUAACGUUGACCCGUAAUCCGGGUUGCGGACAGUGUCUGGUGGGUAGUUUGACUGGGGCGGUCUCCUCCUAAAGAGUAACGGAGGAGCACGAAGGUUGGCUAAUCCUGGUCGGACAUCAGGAGGUUAGUGCAAUGGCAUAAGCCAGCUUGACUGCGAGCGUGACGGCGCGAGCAGGUGCGAAAGCAGGUCAUAGUGAUCCGGUGGUUCUGAAUGGAAGGGCCAUCGCUCAACGGAUAAAAGGUACUCCGGGGAUAACAGGCUGAUACCGCCCAAGAGUUCAUAUCGACGGCGGUGUUUGGCAC